AUAUUGCAGAUACCAAGUUGUGAACCAGCCAGAAACCGGCCGGUUUGCUGCAACUUCCUGGAGCAGAAUGCAAGCUAAAUCUAUGUGCAUGGUCCUCCACUACGAACAAAUGGCAGCCUUGUUUGCUGCGAGAAACAAGAAGGACAUCAUUGGAGCCAAGUUUCCUCCGACCUCAUCUUGGACUAUGACGUGAACGCCUCACUCCUCCUUGACUGAAAUCUCCAACCCCCCAUGUGCAGUUUGGGAUGUUAUGAAAAAUACCGACGCAAGAUUCAAUCAAACUCGGUAAGAAAGGAUUUAUUGAUCA